rnacentral:tRNA from 2 species
GGAGAAAUGGCAGAGUGGUCGAAUGCACUGGUCUUGAAAACCAGCGUACCGCAAGGUACCGGGGGUUCGAAUCCCUCUUUCUCCG